ensembl:lncRNA
AUUAGUUCUCCCAAGGCAACCAUAAGAAAUGGUUGGUUCCUUUAAGCAGCAAAGGCCUUUUUCCCAUAAAUUUAAAAGGCAGAAACUUUAAGGCAGUGCCAGGACCAGGCUCCCUCCUAAGACUCCAGACAUCAGUCUCUUCAUGGUUUGUAUGGGUUGUUAGCUUUUGGUGCCUCUCAGUAUUCAUUGUGACAUCACAGGGCCUUAUGUUCUUCUAUGUGUGUUUCUUCUUAUAAUGAUUCAUAUUGUCAAGUUUGGGGGGUCACCUUAUAAAUUGAGGAUGCCCUUUUCUUGAGGUCCUUCAGUUACAUUUAUCUGUAAAAGCUUUUUAUCCAUAGUCAAAGCCAUAGUAACUGAUGUUGGGAUUUGUUUUUUGAUCUUUGGAGUUUUAAUUUUACCUAAUUGAAAAAUUGUGUGUGUGUGUGUGUAUGUAUGUAUGUAUGUAUGUAUGUAUGUAUGUAUGUGUGCUCCUGUGCUUGCACACUCACAGGUCCAUGUGCACGCAUGUAUUACAGCAUGCAUGUGGAGAUCAGAGGAUAACCUUGAAUGUUGGUCCUCACCUUCCACUUUGUUUGAGACAAAGUGUCCUUUGGUUCACAGAUCUAAUGACAGCCUAUUUAGCCCUUGAACUUCUGUGAAUUCCUCCUGUCUCUGGGUUUCCCAUAUCGCCGUAAUAGAUCAUUGAGGUUCUAGAAGCAUGAUACCAGGUCCAGCUUUGUGUGGGGGUUGUGAGAGCUAAACAUGUGUGUACAGAAUGUGGUCUCCACACUGGACCAUCUCUCCAGCCCUUCCAUCUGCUUUCCUUUCCUGUUCCUUGAUCCUUCUAGACUGCAGAAGGGAGCUGCUCUGCUGCUAGACCUGUACUUGGGGACCAAACAGCCCAAGACAUUACUGUAAUAUAAUGUGAGUGGCUUGAUGGAGUGAUGUUCAGAAUGUGUGUAAAAUUUUUUACAUCAGCUUUUUCUCUGUUGCUGGAUGCACACCAUACGGAACAAGAGGAGCACAUUCAUCUCCCUGUCGUUGUAAUUGAAAUCGUUUCUCUCAAAUUAGCAUUUUAUCAAGAUACUCGGUGAUUUUUCUAUUUUGACUGAACUUCUAUUUCUCCUCACUGCUUUCAGAUACUAUCUAAAACAUGAUUUGUGAAGCGUGUACUGAUGGUUUUUUCCCCUAUCAGAUAUCAAGCCUGAAGAGGAAGUUUGAUUUUGAAUGAAUAGCAUUUCUUCCCUUCCUUGAUUCACAGAUUUCUUAUUGCUUCAAUAUAUGUUUUAGAGUGUAAUUACCAGAAGUCCACAAUGUGAGGAAAUAUGGCUUUUUUGUUCCAGCUCAGUCUUCUUAUACUAUCUGACAUAUGGUGCUAGCAACUUUGGUUGAGUGUCUUUCUUGAAUGGUGAAUAUGCUGUGAACAUCUUCAUUUUUAAUAGAUUUUAUGAGGGAUUUGUGUAUGUGUUCAUGUGUGUGUAUGUGCAGAUGUUCAUGCAUGCCUACUAGGACAACCUCAGUGUCAAUCCUCAGGCACCAUAUGGUUGUUGUUGUUUUGUUUUGUUUUUAUCUGAGACAAGGUCUCUCACUGACCCAGAGCUCACAGAGUAGGCUAUACUGUUAGGCCAAUGUGUCUGGGGGAAUAUCACAUCUCCUCCCCAAAGAUUGAAUUAAAAACAUACAUCAUUAUGCCCAGUUGUUUUCAUGUUGUUUGUUUUUGUUGUUGUUUAAUGUGAUUGUUGUGAUUUGAACUCUGGUCCUCGGUGCUUGUAAGACAAACACAUCACCAGCUGUGCUAUCUUAAUCCAGCUCUCAAACAAGAUGUUUUUAAUCGAAGUAUGACUACUGUGGUACUUUUUCUUCUCUAUCCACUUCUCCCUUAACUUGAGGAGUCACAGUACUGCUUAAAAAAACAAACCAAAAGAAAACAUAACAAAAGCCCUUUUGGUUUAUUUAUUCUGUUGUAUGUGUAUGAGUGUUUUAUCUUCAUGUAUGUAUAUGCACCAUGUGUAUGCCUAUUGCCUACAUAUGACAGAAGACAUAGUAGCCCCAGAAACUGUAGUUACAGAUUGAAGAUAACACACUGUAGAUUCACCAAGCAGGUGCUGAUAUAUCUGUGUUCUCUACAGAAGCAACGAAGUGUUCUUAACUGCUGAGAGGUCUCUUCAGCCCCAGAAUACUAUUUUGACUUUUUAAUUUUUGAUUUUGUUCUCAAAUUAUAAUAAAAAGGAAGAGAGAUGAGUGAGUAUAUUGUUCAAGGAAACCUGAGACCACUGGGUUUCUUAGAGUACCAUGACUAUGAUAUGUGUUCAGAAUCAUAAUGACUGUCAUUCUCAUUACAGGUCCUUGAUGGGAUACUCAUCUUCACUAACCCUCUUGAUUUGUUUGAUGAGCAUCUUCUGGGCAGCAGGUGCUCCCCAAACAGAAAGCAGUGAGCAGUACAUGUAGGAAUCCUCAUGAAAUCAUAUGACUAGUGUAAAGGAGACAGACUGUAGAUGCAUUGUUAAUGAAAAUCCUUGUGUUUCAGGUCUGACUCUAGAAGGCAGAAGUAAAUAAAUCUUUUCUUACAAUAACAAAGCUGGAGAGAUGACUUCUUCACAUCUGAUUUCUAACACUGGUAUGGGAAGUUAUUUUCAGCAUAGGUGGUUAAAAAAACAGAGAGAGAGAGAGAGAGAGAGAGAGAGAGAGAGAGAGAGAGAGAGAGAGAGAGAGAGAGAGAGAAACAAUGCUGUUUGUAAGGGAGGUGCCCUUCUUUACUGAGUUUGCUUUUCACAGGUUGUUGGAGCUGAUUUACUAAAAUUAUCAUGAGGACGUUUGAAUCUAAGUCCAUGAGAAAUAGAAGUUUUUAGUCUUUCUUUUGAAAUGUUUUUAUCUUUUUUUGUUUUUAAGCUGGGAAUUAUUAGGCUUAUAAAUCUACUUGUCAUUUGUUUUGUUUGGUGAUAUUUUAUAACAUUGAUGUUCAUUAAAUUUAUGUUCAAGUCUUCAAGUAUCUUUGGGCCUAAGGGUUUGUUUUGUUUUUUUC